GACUUUACACAAAUGUCUGGUGGUCCUUAGAAGUCUACUUAUGGUUAAGACUGGAUUCUAAACAGGAGUCUGUUGCUACUCUGUUUGACUAUGACUGGAAAUCUUCUUUCGCCCACAACAUUUUGUUCAUUUGAGAUGGGCCAGCUCUUCACUGAUCUGCACAAGGUUGCCUCGUUUUUCCAGAUGUUUGUUUUAAUCCCAUGGCCCAUUCCAGAUGACUUGGGAAGUCUGCUGUCCUCUGGGUCAGGCCGAGCGAAAUCUUCACCUGCAAUGUUGCUGGUAAACAUGGCAGAAGGAAGAAGACUCUGGAAGGUUCUACACUAGCAAUUAGAUGCUCCAGGCUGGAAGUAACACAUCACUUUUUUUGUUUAGCUGGAAUUAGUUUCAUGGCCUCACCAACCAUAUGGAGAUCAGAAAUUGCAAUUCUAUCAGGUGUUCAAGGAUAGUUCAUGAACAGGGCCAGUGACUAUCACAGCGUGAUCUUUAUG